rnacentral:rRNA from 1 species
CCUACGGGAGGCAGCAGUGGGGAAUAUUGGGCAAUGGAGGAAACUCUGACCCAGCGACGCCGCGUGCGGGAUGAAGGCCUUCGGGUUGUAAACCGCUUUCAGUAGGGAAGAAGCGAAAGUGACGGUACCUACAAAAGAAGCACCGGCUAACUAUGUGCCAGCAGCCGCGGUAAUACAUAGGGUGCAAGCGUUGUCCGGAAUUAUUGGGCGUAAAGAGCUCGUAGGUCGUUUGUUACGUCGGAUGUGAAAACCUGAGGCUCAACCUCAGGCCUGCAUUCGAUACGGGCAAACUAGAGUUUGGUAGGGGAGACUGGAAUUCCUGGUGUAGCGGUGGAAUGCGCAGAUAUCAGGAGGAACACCAAUGGCGAAGGCAGGUCUCUGGGCCAAUACUGACACUGAGGAGCGAAAGUCUGGGGAGCGAACAGGAUUAGAUACCCUGGUAGUCCAGACCGUAAACGGUGGGCACUAGUUGUGGGAACCUUCCACGGUUUCUGCGACGCNGCUACGACAUAAGUGCCCGCCGUCGGGAGGUACGAGUCGCGAGAAGUAAACGUACGAAAGGAAGUUAGUAACGGUCGUGAGACGUGCCGAACGGACGACGACGAGGGAGGAGG